rnacentral:rRNA from 1 species
GUCUAUGGCCAUACCACCCUGAACACGCCCGAUCUCGUCUGAUCUCAGAAGCUAAGCAGUGUUGGGCCUGGUUAGUACUUGGAUGGGAGAAUUUCUGCGAGUAUUUGCCUAGAUA